rnacentral:rRNA from 1 species
UACGGAGGGUGCAAGCGUUAAUCGGAAUUACUGGGCGUAAAGCGCACGCAGGUGGCUGAGAAAGUCGAUUGUGAAAGCCCUGGGCUUAACCUGGGAAUUGCAGUCGAAACUACUCGGCUAGAGUAUGGGAGAGGUGAGUGGAAUUCCCAGUGUAGAGGUGAAAUUCGUAGAUAUUGGGAAGAACACCGGUGGCGAAGGCGGCUCACUGGCUCAUUACUGACGCUCAGGCGCGACAGCGUGGGGGAUCAAACAGG